AGAGUUUGAUUCUGGCUCAUGACGAACGCUGGCGGCGUGCUUAACACAUGCAAGUCGAACGAUGAAGCCUUCGGGUGGAUUAGUGGCGAACGGGUGAGUAACACGUGGGCAAUCUGCCCUGCACUCUGGGACAAGCCCUGGAAACGGGGUCUAAUACCGGAUAAUACUGUUCCCUUCCUGGGGGAUGGUUGAAAGCUCCGGCGGUGCAGGAUGAGCCCGCGGCCUAUCAGCUUGUUGGUGGGGUAAUGGCCUACCAAGGCGACCACGGGUAGCCGGCCUGAGAGGGCGACCGGCCACACUGGGACUGAGACACGGCCCAGACUCCUACGGGAGGCAGCAGUGGGGAAUAUUGCACAAUGGGCGAAAGCCUGAUGCAGCGACGCCGCGUGAGGGAUGACGGCCUUCGGUUGUAACCUCUUUCGGCGGGAAGAAGCGAAAGUGACGGCCCUGCAGAAGAACGCCGGCUACUCGUGCCCCAGCCGCGGUAAUACGUAGGGCGCAAGCGUUGUCCGGAAUUAUUGGGCGUAAGAGCUCGUAUGCGGUUUGUCACGUCGGGUGUGAAAUCCCGGGGCUUACCCCGGGUCUGCAUUCUAUACGGGCAGACUAGAGUGAGGUCGUGAGAUCCAAUCCUGGUGUGCGCUGAAUGCGCAGAUAUCAGGAGGACACCGGUGGCAAUGCGGUCUCUGGGCAUACUGACCUGAAGACCAAACUUGGGGAGCGACAGGAUAGAUACCCUGGUCUCCCGCCGUAACUUUGGGACUAGUGUUAUCACAUUCACGUCUCGGUGCGCACUAAGCAUUAUUUCCCGCCUGGGAGUACGGCGCAGGCAAACUCAAUGAAUUGACGGGGG
rnacentral:rRNA from 1 species